AGAAGGAGCCUGAGGCUGAGGUGGAGGCUGGGAGUUUGGGGCUGGUGGAUCCUCUGAAGGCCAUGGAAUCCUCCACGGGGCCCAGGAUGCCUUUGCUCAAAUACUGCAGCGUGGCCACAAGCCUGAAGGCCCCUGGCUGGGACGGUGCUGCUCCACCCUGGAACCUCUCCUUCACCUACCCCUUUGCCCUCCAAGCACCCUGGCUCACCGGGCACAAGCCCCUUGCAAGAAGGGAAGCAGAUGGUUUUUACUACCGGGCCCAAAUAAAGGCCGCUCCCGAGCUAACCCUUUCCUCGUUGACUGCAAGGGCAGUGCUGAGGGCGGCUCUGUGGCCACAAUCGCUCCUUGCCUACAUGAGCCUCAUAGGUGAACAACCAUCCUGUUGGUCUUGGACACAUCCCUGGUUGGUCUUGGACACAGGAGCGACGCUUCUUGGGGGUGCUGGGAGGAGGAGACUGCAUUGAGAAAAGGUCCAGGGAGGACCCAGCUGGAGAGACAGGGGGUCCUGCUUGUGGAAUUCGAGGCUCCUCUUGUCGCAGGCCCAAAGCUGCCAGCCCAGCAG
rnacentral:sRNA from 1 species